CAAGACCUUGCGCUUUUGGAGCGGCCGAUGUCUGAUUAGCUAGUUGGUGAGGUAAAGGCUUACCAAGGCUUCGAUCAGUAGCUGGUCUGAGAGGACGACCAGCCACACUGGGACUGAGACACGGCCCAGACUCCUACGGGAGGCAGCAGUGGGGAAUUUUGGACAAUGGGGGAAACCCUGAUCCAGCCAUGCCGCGUGAGUGAAGAAGGCCUUCGGGUUGUAAAGCUCUUUCAGCCGGAACGAAACGGUCACGGYUAAUACCCGUGAUCACUGACGGUACCGGAAGAAGAAG
rnacentral:rRNA from 1 species